rnacentral:rRNA from 1 species
UGAGGAAUAUUGCGCAAUGGGGGCAACCCUGACGCAGCGACGCCGCGUGAGUGAGGAAGGCCUUCGGGUCGUAAAGCUCUGUCAAAGGGAAAGAAAUGCAUAAUGGCUAAUACCUGUUAUGUUUGACGGUACCCUUAAAGGAAGCACCGGCUAACUCCGUGCCAGCAGCCGCGGUAAUACGGAGGGUGCAAGCGUUGUUCGGAAUUACGGGGCGUAAAGGGCGCGUAGGCGGUUUGAUAAGUCAGAUGUGAAAGCCCACGGCUUAACUGUGGAAGGGCAUUGGAAACGUUCAGACUUGAGUACCAGAGGGGAAAGUGGAAUUCCCGGUGUAGAGGUGAAAUUCGUAGAUAUCGGGAGGAAUACCGGUGGCGAAGGCGACUUUCUGGCUGGAUACUGACGCUGAGGCGCGAAAGCGUGGGGAGCAAACA